UGAAAACCCACCAGGAGAGGACUGAAGAUGCUCUAAGGCAUCCCUGUCAAUCACAAGAGGAAGUGUCUCGGACUGACCAGACAGAGGCCACCGUGGAAAGACAUGCAGGCCCAAGCCAGAGGCCUCCCUACCCGAGCCAAGUAACUAACCCAGGCUGGCUCUGUGCUCCUCCCCAGCUGCCUGAAUUCAUGUCAGGGCCACCAGUAGCAGACGAACGUCCUUGGGAGGGUCUUCCCGAAUGUGUCCCUGUCACCUCCCUCUGUCCUAUGUAAGUGUCCUUAGUAAGAAAGGAAUGGUCAUAUCGCUUCCAACAUGGAGAAAAUGCGGGCCACAGACAGACAGACGUACUGGGCUUCAAAUAUGCCGUGGCCCACCGACGCUGCGGCCCUCGUUUCUGGCAGAUAAGAGUUCUACAAACUGAACAGGGAGCUGCUUUCUGCCGUGUUUCUGACCUCUCUUCUUCCUUCUGCUUUCUUGCUCCUCUUGCUUGAUGGCCAUUGUUAAUGACUCCCAGCCCUUCUGUUGAUGUCCCCUUUGACCCACAUUGCCACAGGUACCGAGAAAGUCAAACCUUCCUCUUAAGGACACAGGGAACUGCCAGGGCCACUGAAUUAUCUGUGUUUAGCAAUCCACCAAAUGCCUAAGAGUUCUUGCUUUGCAAUGUGCUCUCUGUCAUCACAAUACCCUCGACAGGUGGACGGAGCCAGACAGCAGGGCUGGCCCAGAACCCAGAACUCCAGAAGCCCAAAGGAACACUUAGUCGCUGGAGCAGCAGUGAUCUUACCGGUUUACUGGAGAUGCUUACCCACCCCGCCCCCAAGAUCUUCGGUCACUGAGCAUAUCCAGUGACUACUCCCCUCCUGCCUACAAUGUAUAACAAAGUAAAAAACGAGCAGCGUGUGCUAAAAGCGGACUCUCCCCAUCUACGGAGACUUCUUACUGCUGCAAUCACAUAGACCAGGUAACCAGGAAUGGCACCAAACUUGGAUGUUUUGGCACAGCACGGGCGCUGGAGAGAGGCCUUGGAAUGCAGCUGGACUGUGGUCGCAAGGCCAAGGAAACAGGCAAGUAAAGAGGGACCCAGUGUUCAGUGGGCAAGCUUCUGGGAGGGCGUAAAGACCAACACCCUUUAAAGUCAACAAGAUUUUUAAAAAUUAAGCAACUGGCAGUUGUGUAUUUUUUUUCAAGCAAAUAUAAACGAAGACUCGACUUCUCACCUGUUUUCAGGUUUUGAGUUUGGGGCCUUCUAAGAUCUAUGGAUGGGGGACUUUUUAUAAUCUGUGGACCUGAACAAAGUUAUAAAAGAGUUUCAGCACCAGGACUCGCAGAGAUACAGUGCUCAUUUGUGCAAGUCUUCGAAGGAGGGAGAGUGUUGCGCUUGCAGUCCUUCUUGUUGUCUUGAAUAUCGUAUUUUAAUAUUUAUUUUUAUUUAUACAUAUGUGUGUGAGCUUGUAUGAGUGGCUAUCUCAAAGCAUUGCUGUGUGUGUCUGUAGACGAUCUUCUAGUGCUAACCAGUCACCCCCUUUAUCCAUUUAUUACCCCAUAGAUCAAAUGUAUUUGGAUAAAAUUUGUAUCUGCAAUGAGCAUGUGCCGACUUUGUUAUUCUUGUUCCCUAAAGGUCAUGGUAUGACAAUGGCUCAUAUGCCAUUUAAUGUGUAUAAGUUAUGAGAAACCUUCUAGAGAUGCUUUGAAGUACACAAAAGAAUAACAAUGCAUCUCAUACCAUAGACUUGAGGACUUGGGUGAUAUCUUAGUUAGGGUCUUACUGCUGUGAACAGACACCAUGACCAAGGCAACUCUUGUAAGUACAACAUUUAAUUGGUGCUGGUUUACAGGUCAGAGGUUCAAUCCAUUAUCAUCAAGGCAGGAACAUGCAGCACCCAGGCAGGCAUGCUGCGGGAGGAGCUGAGAGUUCUACAUCUUCAUCUGGAGAUUCCUAGCAGAAUACUGACUUUGAACUAAGAGAUCUGCAUGCCUGUCUCAUAAGCACUGGGAUUAAAAAUGUGGGCCAUCAAACCUGGAUUUAAGUUUUUCUUUACCUAGAAGUUGGUCUGUUCUAGGCUGGUCUUGAACUCUAAAACCUGCUUGUCUUUGCUUCCUGGAAUUAAAGACUUGUACUACCACAGCUGGAUCUUGCCCCAAGUCACCACUCCCUUAAUUCAAUUUAAUAUCCUUGAAUACAGGAUUCAGCUCCAUUUCACUUCCUGGUGCCCCUUUAGUACUUGAACCAUAUAUUUCAUAUUUCUCCUUUCUCAGCUUGCUGUGCUUAUUUAAAAUGCUAGUCAUGAGACUUAACCAAAAAACAAAGUUUCUGAUAGGUGUUUCUAAGACUUCCUUUGUCAAUGCAAUUAAUCUGAGCCUCUUCGCCUUAGCCGGAGGGAGACUCUUCACACAAAGGCAAGUAGCCACAUUCUUCACCAAAAUACCACAAAAAUAGUCUCUGGCCACACUGAAAUUCUCCACUGAAACCUCUUGGGCCUGGUCCACACAAUUCAAAUCACUCUCAGUAACAAAGUCUUCCAUAUUCCUACUAGGAUAGCCCAUUAAACCCCAUUUAAAGCUUUCCACAGUGUUCCAAAUCCAGUCCCCAAAUCCACAUUCUUCCAAACAAAAGCAUGGUCAGGCCUGUCACACUAAUACCCCAGUCCCUGGCACCAACUUCUGUAUUAGUCAGGGUUCUCUGGAGUCACAGAACUUAUGGAAUGUCUCUCUCUAUUGAGGGAAUUUGUUGUUCUGACUUAGUCUGCAGUCCAACUACCCCAACAAUGGGCAGCUGCUGAUGGAAAGUCCAAGAAUCCAGUAGUUGCUCAGUCCCAAGAGGCUAGUAGUUUCAGCUGGUCUUCUUUAUGAUCCGAAAUCCUGAAGAAGCAGGUUCCAACAGAUGUGCUGGCAAGUGAAUGCAAGCAGGCAAGAAGAGCGAAUCCUCUUUCUUCCAAUGUCCUUAUGUAGGCCUCAAACAGAAGAUAUAUCCCAGAUUAAAGUGUGUACCACCAACCUUGGACCUGGGACUUGCUUGUCCCAGGCUGACCUUGAACUCAGAGAUCUCCUUGCCUCAGUCUCCUGGUACUAAAGGCAUGUACUAUCUCACCUGAGCCUAAGCUUUUCAUGGCCACUAUGCCUCAAGAUCUCCAUGGUAAGAUCCAGGCCAGAAAUUUGUGUCUUCCAGCCUCAGGAUCUGUAUCAUAGAUGAGCCCUCCAACUCUGAACUGUAGUUCAUUCCAGAUACAGUCAAGUUGACAACCACGAAUAGCCAUUACAUUAGCAUUUUACUAAAGUCCAAUGUCUUUCCAUUAGUUCUAGAACACUCUUUGACAUGAUGUGGAUAUCUGGUCACUGAUACACUUCUGUUAGGUGGAUCGAAUUUGGAGUGCUUUUAGCUACAAGUAUCAAGGUAUCUACUUCAGUAUCUAAAACAGAAGAAAAUGUGAUUGGGGGUUUUAUUACAAAGACUCAGAGGCAAGACUCUUUAGCAGGUAGAUGCCCAGCUUCUCUCAGGCUCCCAGCUUGUCCAUCUUCCCCUUUCUGCUAUGACCCAGGGCUCCUUCCUGCAUGUCUGAGGUAGCCCCCACAUCGAGAGGUUUCACCCCACAUUCAGGAUGAACCCUUUCCCUUCAGUGACAGGAUCGGCAUCCCUUCCACUAUGAGUGCUGUCAAGAAGUAGCCAUGUGGAUACUUCCUUUCUAACUGCAAAUGAAGCAAGGAAGUCAGAAGUCUGGGGAAGUAGAUGUCUUCCCAUCACUUCCCUAAGCUAACAUCGAAUCAGCUAUUGAACAAGAAACAUUAGCCAGCUAGAAGACAUUUCGCCCAAGAAAGGAGAGGCAUUGGUGACCGAGACUGGUUGUGUGCACCUAAAAGGGCUCUGUGAUGUCUGAGACAUGGAGCAGCGCUCACUACACUUUGCCCAUCACCUCCUCCAGCACUCUCUGUGCAUUACAACGACUAGGGGUAACUUGACUACGUCUUCAGGGAUUUCUUAUUUGUCUUUAUCCUUUUAUAAAGCAGGGCUUCUUCUUAAAGCAGGAAGCUGGAUUGGAUUACAUGAUUCCUUCUUGAGCUUUCAUUAUGAUCUGAAGCCAAAAUAAGAUCAUGUACACACACACACACACACACACACACACACACACACACGUACAUAUCUUGUGUAUGAUUAAAAGUAUCUUGUGUUGUGCUUCUGUUUGGACCUGAUUCAGGUUAUGGUCUCUUAGGCUCUCCAGCUCUGUUUCACAGUGGCUACUGUUGUUAUCUUUUGCAGCUAUUUUUCUUUGUUCAGUGUCUUAGUCAGGGUUUCUAUUCCUGCACAAACAUCAUGACGAAGAAGCACUUGGGGAGGAAAGGGUUUAUUCAGCUUACACUUCCAUAGUGCUGUUCAUCACCAAAGAAAGUCAGGACAAGAACUCAUGCAGGUCAGGAAGCAGGAGCUGAUGCAGAGGCCAUGGAGGGAUGUUACUUUACUGGCUUGCUUCUCCUGGCUUGCUCAGCCUGCUCUCUUAUAGAACCAAUACUACCAGUCCAGAGAUGGUCCCACCCACAAGGGGCCCUCCCCCCUUGAUCACUAAUUGAGAAAAUGCCCCACAGGUGGAUCUCGUGGAGGCAUCUCCCCAACUGAAGCUCCUUUCUCUGUGAUAACUCCAACUUGUGUCAAGUUGACACCCAAAACCAGCCAGUACAGUCAGCAAACGAAUCCAUGCUUUUCCCUCCUAAGAACAAGCAAGCGCUGUAACAGCAACCCUGGGCUUCCUGACUCCCCCUCGUUCACGUGAAAACAAAACUCUCUGUUACCUUCCCUGAUGAUCUUCGGGUCAUGCGUGGGUGGGAAGGGAGUCACAAGAACAAAUUGUGGGUUUCCUGGUUUCUCUGCACCCUCUGCUGGAGGUCAUGGCUUCUCUGCCUCUUUGUCACCUGGCUCCAGGCACAGGAACUUUUGGAUGUGACACUAGGAAGUGAAUCAUGCAUCGACUUGUGAUCCCCAGCUGCUGGACGGACUCUCUCGAGUUUUAGAUAAGUGGAGACGAGAUUAAAAAUUGAAUACUUUGAAUAAGUAAAAAAAUAAUAAAAAUUCAAUACUUCAUGUAUCAUUUAGUAUCCUCCAAACAACACCUGAGGCACAUUAAAGGUUAUGAGAUAAAAUCAGUGGGUCUUAGCUGGCUCUGUGUGUGUGUGUGUUUAUUCAUCGUAUUAAAUAAUUGUCUCAUAACAACACUCUUAUGUGCUCAUAUCCACUCCCUGUUACCUGUUCUUGUCUCUGUGUCCCUUCAGCUAGUCCUCUUCUUGUCCUUGCAGAUCACAUGUAUGCAUAGAUUUUCAUUCACAUCCCAUAUAUUUUCAGCGCCCCCACCCCUAGCCUCACGGCCAGCAGGGGUAGGAUCCCCGGGAGAUAAAGAAUGAGACUCACUCAGCACACUUCAGCCGGUGCUGGGUCAACACGUCCAUAGUCCAGCCUCAUGGUUUCUUCCUCUUACACAGUUAAGCCCAGUAAAAUGUUGGAAAGGGGUUUCUGGGUGACAAUUAUCCCAACAAACUUUAGGCAUAGCUACACAGAAACUCCCUUGCAAAGUGGCAAAGCACCUGGGACCUUUACAGUAAGAGUGAGUUCUAUUGACCAAUAAACAGAGCUCAGGUCAAGGCCUAAAGAGGAAGGAUUUGUCAUAAACACAAGGAUAGAUUCUAAGAUGGAGGAUGCAAAGAACACGGGAUCUCUUUCAAAAGGGUGAGUUUUAUAAACUAAGAGACAAAGCUCUGGGUUUGGGAGAGAUUCAGGACGUCGGGUUCCACAGAAUAGCACAGAGAUCAGCAGGUUGUUAGAUAACAUCCACUCCAGCCUUCCAGGUGGCCUGGCGUCAGUCAUUUUAGUCAGUUUCUCCAAUGCUGUCCCUAAUCUGUCUCCUUCAGCAGAUGAGAAAUAAAAUGUAAUAUUUCUGAAUGUGUCUUAUUCAACUUAAUAUGAUAAUCUACAGUUUCAUACAGUUUCCUGGAAAUGACAUCACUUCAUUCUUCAUUGUGGCUGAAUAAACCUCCACUAUGGAGGUGGGAGAGAUGAUGGCUCGGCGGUUAAGAAUGCUUGAGUGGGGCCGGAC
rnacentral:lncRNA from 1 species